GACGAACGCUGGCGGCGUGCUUAACACAUGCAAGUCGAACGAAGUGGCGAACGGGUGAGUAACGCGUAAUCAACCUGCCCUUAAGAGGGGGACAACAGUUGGAAACGACUGCUAAUACCGCAUACUGAAGGAGGGGCUUGCGUAUGAUUAGCUAGUUGGGGGGGUAACGGCCCACCAGGGCGAUGAACAGUAGCCGGUCUGAGGGGAUGAACUGCCACAUGGUGACUGAGACACGGCCCAGACUCCUACGGGAGGCAGCAGUGGGGAAUCGUCCGCAAUGGACGAAAGUCUGACGGAGCAACGCCGCGUGAGGGAUGACGGCCUUCGGGUUGUAAAGCUCUGUUAAUCGGGACGCGGUACCGGAAUAGAAAGCCACGGCUAACUACGUGCCAGCAGCCGCGGUAAUUC
rnacentral:rRNA from 1 species